ensembl:lncRNA
GGUUACACGUGUGUUUUGGAGCCUGCAGACAUACCAAAGGGAGGUGCGCUGCUGCAGUGUCUUACUGGCUGUAUGAUGUGGUGGUCACUGGAAAAAUCUCACUGCUCUACUGUACUUUGGCAUGAGGCAGCAGUGGCUGGAGGUGAAUGUUUUCCCACCACAGCGCCGUGAGAUAAACAAGGGGCAGCUGAUUCACGCCGCACUUAUUUUCUGCCAUCCACCCUUCGUGUCACCCUGAUAUUUCUUCAAACGAUAAGCCUGCGUGAGCGCUCACGCUGCGCCGCCGAGCAAAUGGAUGAGCAGCAAAGGCUCCCAGCACCUUCCGGAGAGGCCAGCAACUUCUUUCAACUUCAGUACAAAAUGGUGAGCGGCUCUAAGAAAUAAACAAGAGAUUCCUGCAGCCCUCGUCCAAAGGGACCAUUUAAAAAUAGACAAAUUAUGACUCGAGAUGAAAUGUAUGCAUUGCAUAAAUCAAAGUUCUCACACCCACCAUCAGAGUUUAAUCACUUUAUAUGCUGGUCUUUCAACAUGCU